GAGCAGGCAGUUAUCCCUUUUUAGCCUCUUUUCUGUGACUCUAGAGGGAGUCAGCCUGCGAGAGGAAAUACAGGAAAGCUGCAACCAGGCCCCACACAUGUGGGGUGUUUUUUUUUUGUUUUGUUU
rnacentral:snoRNA from 11 species